UGCGUAGGCGGAAAACUAAGUCAGUAAUGAAAUCCUGCAGCUUAACUGUAGAACUGUUAUUGAUACUGGUUUUCUUGAAUACAGUUGAGGCAGGCGGAAUGUGUAAUGUAGCGGUGAAAUGCUUAGAUAUUACACAGAACACCGAUUGCGAAGGCAGCUUGCUAAACUGUGAUUGACGCUGAGGCACGAAAGCGUGGGUAGCAAACAGGAUUAGAUACCCUGGUAGUCC
rnacentral:rRNA from 1 species